CCUACGGGACGCACCAGUGGGGAAUAUUGCACGAUGGGCGCAAGCCUGAUGCAGCCAUGCCGCGUGUAUGAAGAAGGCCUUCGGGUUGUAAAGUACCUUCAGCGGGGAGGAAGGUGUUGUGGUUAAUAACCGCAGCAAUUGACGUUACUCGCAGAAGAAGCACCGGCUAACUCCGUGCCAGCAGCCGCGGUAAUACGGAGGGUGCAAGCGUUAAUCGGAAUUACUGGGCGUAAAGCGCACGCAGGCGGUCUGUCAAGUCGGAUGUGAAAUCCCCGGGCUCAACCUGGGAACUGCAUUCGAAACUGGCAGGCUAGAGUCUUGUAGAGGGGGGUAGAAUUCCAGGUGUAGCGGUGAAAUGCGUGGAGAUCUGGAGGAAUACCGGUGGCGAAGGCGACCCCCUGGACAAAGACUGACGCUCAGGUGCGAAAGCGUGGGGAGCAAACAGGAUUAGAUACCCUUGUAGUC
rnacentral:rRNA from 1 species